rnacentral:rRNA from 1 species
CGAACGGAAAGGCCCUGCUUGCAGGGUACUCGAGUGGCGAACGGGUGAGUAACACGUGGGUGAUCUGCCCUGCACUUCGGGAUAAGCUUGGGAAACUGGGUCUAAUACCGGAUAGGAGCCAUCUUUAGUGUGGUGGUUGGAAAGUUUUUUUCGGUGUAGGAUGAGCUCGCGGCCUAUCAGCUUGUUGGUGGGGUAAUGGCCUACCAAGGCGGCGACGGGUAGCCGGCCUGAGAGGGUGUACGGCCACAUUGGGACUGAGAUACGGCCCAGACUCCUACGGGAGGCAGCAGUGGGGAAUAUUGCACAAUGGGCGCAAGCCUGAUGCAGCGACGCCGCGUGGGGGAUGAAGGCCUUCGGGUUGUAAACUCCUUUCGCUAGGGACGAAGCUUUGUGUGACGGUACCUAGAUAAGAAGCACCGGCUAACUACGUGCCAGCAGCCGCGGUAAUACGUAGGGUGCGAGCGUUGUCCGGAAUUACUGGGCGUAAGGAGCUCGUAGGUGGUUUGUCGCGUCGUCUGUGAAAUUCUGGGGCUUAACUCCGGGCGUGCAGGCGAUACGGGCAUAACUUGAGUGCUGUAGGGGUAACUGGAAUUCCUGGUGUAGCGGUGAAAUGCGCAGAUAUCAGGAGGACACCGAUGGCGAAGGCAGGUUACUGGGCAGUUACUGACGCUGAGG